UCUUGGUUCAGGAUGAACGCUAGCUACAGGCUUAACACAUGCGAGUCGAGGGGCAGCAUAACGAAAGCUUGCUUUGUUGAUGGCGACCGGCGCACGGGUGAGUAACGCGUAUCCAACCUUCCCGCGAGUAGGGAACAGCCCGGUGAAAGUCGGAUUAAUGCCCUAUGUUCUCCGAUGACGGCAUCAGAGUUGGAGUAAAGAUUUAUCGCUUGCGGAUGGGGAUGCGUCUGAUUAGCUUGUUGGCGGGGUAACGGCCCACCAAGGCGACGAUCAGUAGGGGUUCUGAGAGGAAGGUCCCCCACAUUGGAACUGAGACACGGUCCAAACUCCUACGGGAGGCAGCAGUGAGGAAUAUUGGUCAAUGGGCGGAAGCCUGAAAACCCAGCCAAGUAGCGUGAGGGAUGACUGCCCUAUGGGUUGUAAACCUCUUUUGUUCGGGAAUAAAGUUCGGGACGUGUCCCGUUUUGUAUGUACCGUUCGAAUAAGGACCGGCUAAUUCCGUGCCAGCCGCCGC
rnacentral:rRNA from 1 species